rnacentral:rRNA from 1 species
GUCACAUACGGGCAAGCAGCGGGGGUAAUACGGAGGGUGCGAGCGUUAAUCGGAAGUACUGGGCGUAAAGCUUGCGCAGGCGGUUCGCUAAGACCGAUGGGAAAUCCCCGGGCGUAACCUGGGAACUGCAUUGGUGACUGGCGGGCUAGAGUGUGGCAGAGGGGGGUAGAAUUCCACGUGUAGCAGUGAAAUGCGUAGAGAUGUGGAGGAAUACCGAUGGCGAAGGCAGCCCCCUGGGCUAACACUGACGCUCAUGCACGAAAGCGUGGGGAGCAAACAGGAUUAGAUACCCUUGUAGUC